rnacentral:sRNA from 1 species
ACACGAAACUUACGAUACCGCGGUGCAC